rnacentral:rRNA from 1 species
AUGCGUAGGGGUUCUGAGAGGAAGGUCCCCCACACUGGUACUGAGACACGGACCAGACUCCUACGGGAGGCAGCAGUGAGGAAUAUUGGUCAAUGGGAGAGAUCCUGAACCAGCCAAGCCGCGUGAGGGAAGACGGCCCUAUGGGUUGUAAACCUCUUUUGUCGGAGAACAAAACCCGGGACGAGUCCCGGACUGCGUGUAUCCGAAGAAAAAGCAUCGGCUAACUCCGUGCCAGCAGCCGCGGUAAUACGGAGGAUGCGAGCGUUAUCCGGAUUUAUUGGGUUUAAAGGGUGCGUAGGCGGUCUGUUAAGUCAGCGGUAAAAUUGCGGGGCUCAACCCCGUCGAGCCGUUGAAACUGGCAGACUUGAGUUGGCGAGAAGUACGCGGAAUGCGCGGUGUAGCGGUGAAAUGCAUAGAUAUCGCGCAGAACUCCGAUUGCGAAGGCAGCGUACCGGCGCCAGACUGACGCUGAGGCACGAAAGCGUGGGGAUCGAACAGGAUUAGAUACCCUGGUAGUCCACGCAGUAAACGAUGAAUGCUGGUUGUCCGGGUCGAAUGAGAUCUGG